AUCACUCUGUUCCUUGCAACAUAACUUUUAACAUUUCUUGCAGAAGAGGCAAUUCUAAAUCACACAGGAGGCUGGUAGACAAGGAAUGAAUUGUUCCACCUCACACAAGGCUAAGGUUUCCUAUUUUCUCUCUGUUUCCUAGUGCACAGUAAUGCACUGCAAUGCUGGAACUGCACUGAACGUCUGAGUCAGGGCCCAAAGGAGGAAUUUCAGCUGCCAUUAUCUUCACGUGUAACAAGCUGACCAGUUGACAUUCUUAAAGAUCUUACCCCAAAUAUCAAUAUUUCUGUUCUACAAACACAAUAUAAGCCACUUGGAUUUAAUGAUGCAGUGACAAAAAAAAUAAAAAUAACAG
rnacentral:lncRNA from 1 species